UCUUCGGUUAAAUGAAUAAAACUAUAAACCCUAAUUUCUUGUCAAAAUCCCUAAUUCAUCAUAACCGAAAAUCUCAAAUUUCUACUUUUCAGAUGCUCGGCAAUGGCCGAAAUAGUAGAAAUUGACGGUCAGCCGGAACGAAAUACCAAUGAAUCCACUCUAAAACCGCAGCGGAUAAAAAUUACUAGAGCUUCAGACGAUGGAGACAAAAAGAUUUUGCAGAAGAGACUCAAAGAUGUUGAAAUCUGUGUUCCGAUAGUGUAUGGAACAAUCGCCUUUUGGCUUGGUAGAAAGGCCUCCGAAACUCAGUCACAUAGGUGGACGGUCUAUGUCCGAGGGGCAACAAAUGAGGAUAUUGGGGCAGUGAUCAAGCGUGUUGUAUUUCAGUUGCAUCCAAGUUUCGAAAACCCUGUUAGAGUUGUUGAGUCUCCACCUUUUGAGUUGUCGGAGUGUGGUUGGGGUGAAUUUGAAAUUGCCAUCUCUCUUUUCUUCCACAAUGAUGUUUGCGAUAAGCAGUUGGACUUGUAUCACCAUCUUAAAUUAUAUGCUGAAGAUGAAAGUGGCCCUCAGUCAACUAAAAGGCCUGUUGUCGUGGAAACAUACAACGAGAUAGUAUUUCCAGAUCCAUCUGAGAGUUUUUAUGCCCGUAUCCAGAAACAUCCUGCUGUAAUUGUGCCUCGACUUCCAGUCAUGUUAAACUUGCCCACUGAAGAUCCUAAUGAAAAGAAAGGCGAUACCAAAGAUAACCCGUUGAGUCAAUGGUUUAUCAAUUUCUCUGAGGCAGAUGAGCUGUUAAAACUUGCCGCUGCUCGACAGCAGGAAUUGAUGUAGAGCCCCCUCUUCCUGUGCUCUCCCUAGUGACUACAUUGGGAUUAUUUGAGAAAUUGAAGGUCCAAGCUCAUAUCAUCAAGCUUAGAAGGCAACUGAGCGUCAUCGAUGGGCUGCCACUACAGUCAUGGAAACCAGGCUCUAAUUACUGACACGUAAGAUGGUGAAUCAUGGUAAAAGGACUUCGGUAUAUGCCAUGGAUAUGCACAUAUAUGUAUCAGCUUAGGGCAGGAAACCUGUAAUUUGUGAUAACCUUCUGUGUAGGCCAUUUCUUAUUUUUCAUGCUCUCCAUUUGCAUUUGGGAUUCGAGCACCGUUGUUAUCUCGUAUUAGAGGAGAAAUUAUUAUUUGGCGAAAAGGCAGUGGCGGCAUAUUGUCUGUACAACACUGAAAAAUAUAAUAACUUGCCUAUGUUCUAGA